UAUCUCUGUAGAGUCUGCAUAUCAAUAAGCGGAGGAAAAGAAACUAACUAGGAUUCCCUCAGUAACGGCGAGUGAAGCGGGAAGAGCUCAAAUUUGAAAUCUUCAAGGUUCUACCUUGACGAAUUGUAGUUUAAAGAAGUGUUUUCUGUUGGAGUUUUGGUAAAAGUUCUUUGGAAUAGGACAUCAUAGAGGGUGAGAAUCCCGUAUUUGACCAUUAUUUCCAGCUUUGUGAUACACUUUCAAAGAGUCGGAUUGUUUGGGAAUGCAGUCCAAAAUGGGUGGUAAAUUUCAUCUAAAGCUAAAUAUUGGCGAGAGACCGAUAGCGAACAAGUACCGUGAGGGAAAGAUGAAAAGAACUUUGAAAAGAGAGUUAAACAGUACGUGAAAUUGUCAAAAGGGAAGCGUUUGACACCAGUGUUGUUUUCUCGAAAAUCAAUUAAAAAGAGUUGGAUUUUGUGUUGUAUUGACCUUAUCAGCUUUCUGCACUCUUUUCCUGCUUUUUUUAAUGCACUUUUCGUUUAACAAGUCAACAUCAAUUUCUUUUGUUGUAAAAGGGUCAUUGGAAGGUGGCUUUCUUUUCGGAGAAAGUGUUUAUAGCCUUUGAUCUCUGCAAUCGGAGAGACUGAGGUCUGCAGCGUAGAUCCUUCGGGGCUAGAUACAUUUGUGCUAAGUUAUAGACUUUCAUAGACAACUUGUUGACUAUGUUAGUCAUGUAGCUUACUCGCUUAUGCUAUUUUACCUACGCUUAGGAUGUUGAAGUCAUCGUAUCGCGC
rnacentral:rRNA from 1 species